rnacentral:lncRNA from 1 species
GGAGCCACCACCCGCACCCGCAAGGUGGGCAGACCCGCAACCCAGAGGUACACGGGCAUGGUAGGAGGGGCAGGGCAGAGCCGCCGCCCGCCCUUGCAAGGUAAACAGACCUGUCACAGACUGGCGGGUCAGGCCCAGUGGCCUGCCAGUGUGGUACACACGUCACCCCAACUGGAGUAGGGGCAGAGCAGAUCCUUCUCCCACGCCCGGAUCAGGCCCUGCUGGUGUGGUGGCCACGUGACCCCAAUUGGAGUGGGGGCGGAGUGGAACCGCCACCCGUGCCCCCAGGGUGAGCAGACCUAUAACCAACCUGCAGAUCAGGCCCAGGGGUCCGCAGGCGUGGUAGGAGGGGCAGGGCAGAUCCGCCGCCCGCGCCUCCAAGGUAGGCAGACCUGCGACAGACCGGCAGAUCAGGCCCAGGAGCCUGCCGGCGUGGUACACACACCACCCUAAUUGGAGUAGGGGCAGAACAGAGCCACCACCCGUGCCCGAAAGGUGGGCAGAUCUGCGACCGACCAGCGGGACAGGCCCAGUGGCCUGCCGGUACGACAGACACGUCACCCCAUUUGGAGUAGGGGCAGAGUAGAGCCGCCGCCCGCGCCUGCAGGGUAGGCAAACCUGCAACCGACCAACGGAUCAGGCCCGGUGGCCUGCCGACGUGGUACACUCGUCACCCCAAUUGGAGUAGGGGCAGAACAGAGCCGCUGCCAGCGCCCAGAACAGGCCCAGUGACCUGCCGGCGUGGUAGCCACGACACCCCAAUUGGAAUAAGGAGAGAGCANGGCGGAGGAGAGAACUUCAUCAAUACCAGCGGCGACAGAAACAGUUGGUCUCCUGGUAGGGGGGGUGAGGCACAGACACCUGAGUCUCCUCAAUUUGUCGUCGAGCCAGAGGGGAGGAGCCGGGCCGCCGCCAGCGCCCGGAGCAGGCCCAGCAGCUCGCCAGCGUGGUGACCGCGAGACCCCAAUUGGAGAGGGGGCGGAGCGGAGCCACCACCCGCACCCGCAAGGUGGGCAGACCCGCAACCCAGAGGUACAUGGGCAUGGUAGGAGGGGCAGGGCAGAGCCGCCGCCCGCCCUUGCAAGGUAAACAGACCUGUCACAGACUGGCGGGUCAGGCCCAGUGGCCUGCCAGUGUGGUACACACGUCACCCCAACUGGAGUAGGGGCAGAGCAGAUCCUUCUCCCACGCCCGGAUCAGGCCCUGCUGGUGUGGUGGCCACGUGACCCCAAUUGGAGUGGGGGUGGAGCGGAACCGCCACCUGUGCCCCCAGGGU